rnacentral:rRNA from 1 species
GACGAACGCUGGCGGCGUGCCUAAUACAUGCAAGUCGAACGGAAAGGCGCUGCUCUUGUGGCUUGCUCGAGUGCCGAACGCGUGAGUAACACGUGAGUAUCAUGCCCUUGUCUUUCGGAUAACUUCUGGAAACUGGGGCUAAUAUCGGAUAGGAUCUCCUGCUGCAUGGUGGGGGUUGGAAAGUGUCGGCGGUUGGGGAUGGACUCGCUGCUUAUCAGCUUGUUAGUGGGGUAGUGGCGUACCAAGGCUUUGACGGGUAGCCGGCCUGAGAGCGUGACCAGGGACAUGGGGACUGAGAGAGGCACCAGACGCGUACGGGAGGCAGCAGUCGAGAGUAUUGCAGAAUGGGCGGGAGCCUGAGACAGAAACGUCGCGUGCGGGAAGACGGCCUUCGGGGUAAGAACCGCUUUGGAAUGUAACAAGGCGUGAGUGACGGUAAUGGGUAAGAAAGCACCGGCUAACUACGUG